rnacentral:rRNA from 1 species
CGGGGUGCACCAGGCGCGAAAACUUUACAAUGCUGGAAACAGCGAUAAGGGGACCUCGAGUGCCAGGUUACAAAUCUGGCUGUCGUGAUGCCUAAAAAGCAUUGCAUAGCAAGGGCCGGGCAAGACCGGUGCCAGCCGCCGCGGUAACACCGGCGGCUCGAGUGGUAACCGUUAUUAUUGGGUCUAAAGGGUCUGUAGCCGGCCGGAUAAGUCUCUUGGGAAAUCCAGCAGCUCAACUGUUGGGCUUUCAGGAGAUACUGUCUGGCUCGAGGCCGGGAGAGGUGAGAGGUACUUCAGGGGUAGGGGUGAAAUCUUGUAAUCCUUGAAGGACCACCAGUGGCGAAGGCGUCUCACCAGAACGGACCUGACGGCAAGGGACGAAAGCUAGGGGCACGAACCGGAUUAGAUACCCGGGUAGUCCUAGCCGUAAACGAUACUCGCUAGGUGUCGGCCACGGUGCGACCGUUGUCGGUGCCGUAGGGAAGCCGUGAAGCGAGCCACCUGGGAAGUACGGCCGCAAGGCUGAAACUUAAAGGAAUUGGCGGGGGAGCACA